GGAAGUUAAGAAACUGUUUCUUAACUUUUAACUAAAAAGGCUAAGAACCGGUUCUUAGCCUUUUUAGUUAAAAGUUAAGAAACAGUUUCUUAACUUCC
rfam:Brassica oleracea var. oleracea cultivar TO1000 chromosome C1, whole genome shotgun sequence